rnacentral:lncRNA from 11 species
AUGAAUCGUAUUAAUGAGCGAGUCAAUACUUACUCCCCGCCGGUCUCUCUAAAAAUAAACCAGAUGACAACUUUCGGUCUUUUUAUACCCAAUCCUAGGUCCGCCCCUCGCCCCUCAGGGCCGCCAAUCAGGCUGUGCCAGCAAAAACGUGAGGUCAUUUUUGCCAGAGGAAGGAGGGAUGAGCUCAUCAGAUGUGGGAGCAGAACCCGAAGUUUUUUGAAGUUUCCAGAAAGGGACUUUCCAGGGUUGUGCAAGAGGAGUCUAUCAAUCUCCGGUACCGCUCCAUUAUCCCGGCAGAGGCCAAAAGGGGGAGCUAGACAAAGAAGCGGGGGAAGCAUUAGCCCUGAUUUUUGCUGUUUGUCUCAACUUCCUCUCUAAGAAGCCGCAGUGGUGCAAUGGGUUAAACCAGUGGUUGUUGUUGAAUGCACAGAUGUCUCACUACACUCCAUCCCAAAUAAACAGUGGGAACAUUAAGAUUACCUGAAGAAGCAUCAGAGCCGGCCCAAGAUAAUUUUCAAGUGUAAGUGAAUAGAAAUUUUGGUGCCCCCCCCCCCACACACACACACCAAACCACAUGAAG